rnacentral:rRNA from 1 species
UGGGGAAUAUUGGACAAUGGGGGCAACCCUGAUCCAGCCAUGCCGCGUGUGUGAAGAAGGCCUUCGGGUUGUAAAGCACUUUUGUACGGGAAGAAAUCGUUUGGGUUAAUACCCUGGGCGGAUGACGGUACCGUAAGAAUAAGCACCGGCUAACUUCGUGCCAGCAGCCGCGGUAAUACGAAGGGUGCAAGCGUUACUCGGAAUUACUGGGCGUAAAGCGUGCGUAGGCGGUUUGUUAAGUCAGAUGUGAAAUCCCCGGGCUCAACCUGGGAAUGGCAUUUGAUACUGGCGAGCUAGAGUACGGUAGAGGGUGGUGGAAUUCCCGGUGUAGCGGUGAAAUGCGUAGAGAUCGGGAGGAACAUCUGUGGCGAAGGCGGCCACCUGGACCAGUACUGACGCUGAGGCACGAAAGCGUGGGGAGCAAACAGGAUUAGAUACCCCUGUAGUCCCUGAGCGGGCUGGCAAGGCGCAU